rnacentral:rRNA from 1 species
AUUGAACGCUGGCGGCAUGCUUUACACAUGCAAGUCGAACGGUAACAGGCCUUCGGGUGCUGACGAGUGGCGAACGGGUGAGUAAUGCAUCGGAACGUGGCCAGAGGUGGGGGAUAACGCAGCGAAAGCUGUGCUAAUACCGCAUGUGAUCUGAGGAUGAAAGCGGGGGACCAGGCAGCAAUGUUUGGCCUCGCGCCUUUGGAGCGGCCGAUGUCAGAUUAGGUAGUUGGUGGGGUAAAGGCCUACCAAGCCGACGAUCUGUAGCUGGUCUGAGAGGACGACCAGCCACACUGGGACUGAGACACGGCCCAGACUCCUACGGGAGGCAGCAGUGGGGAAUUUUGGACAAUGGGCGCAAGCCUGAUCCAGCAAUGCCGCGUGCGGGAAGAAGGCCUUCGGGUUGUAAACCGCUUUUGUACGGAACGAAAAGGCUCUGGCUAAUACCUGGGGCUGAUGACGGUACCGUAAGAAUAAGCACCGGCUAACUACGUG